GUUGUAUAGUCAAGUAAUUAAGUGCAUGUGGUGGAUGCCUUGGCAGUCAGAGGCGAUGAAAGACGUGAUAGCCUGCGAAAAGCUCCGGGGAGGCGGCAAAUAUCCUUUGAUCCGGAGAUGUCUGAAUGGGGGAACCCACCUACUUUAAGGUAGGUAUUGCAACAUGAAUACAUAGUGUUGCAAGGCGAACGAGGGGAAGUGAAACAUCUCAGUACCCUUA
rnacentral:rRNA from 1 species